rnacentral:rRNA from 1 species
UUGGAGGGCAAGUCUGGUGCCAGCAGCCGCGGUAAUUCCAGCUCCAAUAGCGUAUAUUAAAGUUGUUGCAGUUAAAAAGCUCGUAGUUGAAUUUCGGGGUCAGUAGGUUGGUCGUGCCUAUGGUAUGUACUGGCUUUACUGAUUCCUCCUUCUUGAAGAACUGUAAUGUCAUUAAUUUGGUGUUGCAGGGAAACAGGACUGUUACUUUGAAAAAAUUAGAGUGUUUAAAGCAGGCUAACGCUUGAAUACAUUAGCAUGGAAUAAUGAAAUAGGACGUUCGAUCCUAUUUUGUUGGUUUCUAGGAUUGACGUAAUGAUUAAUAGGGAUAGUUGGGGGCAUUAGUAUUCAAUUGUCAGAGGUGAAAUUCUUGGAUUUAUUGAAGACUAACUACUGCGAAAGCAUUUGCCAAGGAUGUUUUCAUUAACCAAGAACGAAAGUUAGGGGAUCGAAGACGAUCAGAUACCGUCGUAGUCUUAACCAUAAACUAUGCCGACUAGGGAUCGGAUGAUGUUAAUUUUUUAAUGACUCAUUCGGCGCCUUACGGGAAAC